GAUGUAGGACUUCGAAAACAACCAGGAUGUUGGCUCAGAAGCAGCCACCAUUAAAAGAGUGCGUAAUAGCUCACUGGUCGAGAGGCCCUGCGCCGAAAAUAUCCGGGGCUCAAGCACAGAACCGAAGCCGCGGCAGGGUGUACAUAUCGACAGAGCGUUUAAGGCGCAGGAAAAAUAGGUAUCUGCAAGGAAACCGAGAGCGGCGUAGCAGCGCUACGUCAAACGAGGUUGACGUAGCAGAGAGCGAUUUUAACAAGCCUUUUGAACGUUGUGCCGAUGUGUACACACUGGGUAGGGGAGCGUUCUUAUCUGGACGAAGGCAGACCGGAAGGACUGCUGGACGGGUAAGAAGUGAGAAUGCCGGUAUGAGUAGCGAAACGACAGGUGAGAAUCCUGUCCACCGAAAGCCUAAGGAAUCCCGGGCAACGCUCGUCGUCCCGGGGUAAGUCGGGACCUAAGCCGAGGCGAAAAGCAUAGGCGAUGGACAACUGGCGAAAAUUCCAGUACCGGGCGACUUCGUUUGAGGAUGGAGUGACGCAGGAAGGAAGCUGAGCGCGCGACUGGUAGAGCGCGUCGAAGGCGGUAGGCUGGUAUGGAGGCAAAUCCCCAUACCGUAAAGGCCGAGAACCGAUAGAUAGGAAGGGCUACGGCCCGACUGAAUUCAGCCGCACUAAACUGCCAAGAAAAGCUUCUAACGAGAAGUCGUCCGCCCGUACCAAAACCGACACAGGUAGGCGGGGAGAGAAUCCUAAGGUGCGCGGGAAAACCCUCGUUAAGGAACUCGGCAAAAUGCAUCCGUAACUUCGGGAAAAGGAUGGCCGUUGAUGGUGAAGGUGUUUACCACCGGAGCUGUUGACGGCGGCAGAAAAGAGGCCCAAGCGACUGUUUACCACAAACACAGGUGCCUGCGAAAGCGCAAGCUGAAGUAUAGGUGCUGACGCCUGCCCGGUGCAGGAAGGUUAAGGAGAGUUGUUAUCCCUUGAGGAGAAGCAGCGAACUGAAGCCCCUGUAAACGGCGGCCGUAACUAUAACGGUCCUAAGGUAGCGAAAUUCCUUGUCGGGUAAGUUCCGACCCGCACGAAAGGCGUAACGAUUUGGGCACUGUCUCAACGAGGGACCCGGUGAAAUUGAAAUACCUGUGAAGAUGCAGGUUACCCGCGACUGGACAGAAAGACCCCAUGGAGCUUUACUGCAGCUUGGCAUUGGUCUUUGGCAUAUAACGUACAGGAUAGCCGGGAGACUGGGAAACCUUAUCGCUAGAUGAGGUGGAGUCACCGUUGGGAUACCGGCCUUUAUAUGCUAAGGAUCUAACCGGAACAUUAACAGUGUUCGGGACAGUACCAGGCGGGCAGUUUGACUGGGGCGGUCGCCUCCGAAAGAGCAACGGAGGCGUCCAAAGGUUCCCUCAGCGCGGACAGAAAUCGCGCGAAGAGCAUAAAGGCAGAAGGGAGCUUGACUGCGAGACUGACGGGUCGAGCAGGUACGAAAGUAGGGCUUAGUGAUCCGGUGGAAAGAGAGUGGAAUUGCCAUCGCUCAACGGAUAAAAGCUACCCUGGGGAUAACAGGCUAAUCUCUCCCAAGAGUCCAUAUCGACGGGGAGGUUUGGCACCUCGAUGUCGGCUCAUCACAUCCUGGGGCUGAAGCAGGUCCCAAGGGUUGGGCUGUUCGCCCAUUAAAGUGGUACGUGAGCUGGGUUCAGAACGUCGUGAGACAGUUCGGUCCAUAUCCAUCGCGGGCGUAAGAUACAUGAGGGAGGCUGCUCCUAGUACGAGAGGACCGGAGUGGACGGACCAACGGUGUACCGGUUGUCCUGCCAAGGGCACGGCCGGGUAGCUGCGUCCGGAAGGGAUAAACGCUGAAAGCAUCUAAGCGUGAAGCCCGUCCCGAGAUGAAGUAUCUCAUUCCUAUAAGGAAGUAAGACCCCUUGA
rnacentral:rRNA from 1 species